AUAAGGCGAACAGAAAAACCAGGGCGGCCACAGACACACAAACCUAAGUGUGCUCUUCAGCACAGCUGUCCUCUGCUUUUACUUGGAGGUCUUCCUGCAAUUUCUUCUUUGAAAAGCAACUAGUACAAUUCCCGUGUCUGUCUUGAUAGGGUCUUUGUGGAAAAAGCUUUGAUCUUUACCUAUGUGGAAAUGGAUACACACUGCAGCUAAACAGAAGCCACUGAAAACAGGAAAAUGCCAAUAACUUCAUGAUACUCAAUAGGUAGAAUAAUGCAUCUCCUGAUUAUCCAUUUAAAAUACA